rnacentral:rRNA from 1 species
GAUGAACGCUGGCGGCGUGCUUAACACAUGCAAGUCGAACGGUGAACGAGGAGCUUGCUCCUCUGGAUCAGUGGCGAACGGGUGAGUAACACGUGAGUAACCUGCCCUUGACUCUGGGAUAAGCGUUGGAAACGACGUCUAAUACCGGAUACGACCUCCGAAGGCAUCUUCUGGAGGUGGAAAGAAUUUCGGUCAAGGAUGGACUCGCGGCCUAUCAGCUAGUUGGUGAGGUAAUGGCCCACCAAGGCGACGACGGGUAGCCGGCCUGAGAGGGUGACCGGCCACACUGGGACUGAGACACGGCCCAGACUCCUACGGGAGGCAGCAGUGGGGAAUAUUGCACAAUGGGCGCAAGCCUGAUGCAGCAACGCCGCGUGAGGGACGACGGCCUUCGGGUUGUAAACCUCUUUUAGUAGGGAAGAAGCGAAAGUGACGGUACCUGCAGAAAAAGCACCGGCUAACUACGUGCCAGCAGCCGCGGUAAUACGUAGGGUGCAAGCGUUAUC